rnacentral:rRNA from 1 species
AACGAACGCUGGCGGCGCGCCUAAUACAUGCAAGUCGAGCGAGAAGACGUAGCAAUACGUUUGUAAAGCGGCGAACGGGUGAGGAAUACAUGGGUAACCUACCCUCGAGUGGGGAAUAACUAGCCGAAAGGUUAGCUAAUACCGCGUACGCUCCUUGGACUUCGGUUCAGGGAGGAAAGCGAUACCGUGGGUAUCGCGCUCUUGGAUGGGCUCAUGUCCUAUCAGCUUGUUGGUGAGGUAACGGCUCACCAAGGCUUCGACGGGUAGCUGGUCUGAGAGGACGAUCAGCCACACUGGCACUGCGACACGGGCCAGACUCCUACGGGAGGCAGCAGUAAGGAAUAUUGCGCAAUGGGCGAAAGCCUGACGCAGCGACGCCGCGUGGGGGAGUGAAGGUCUUCGGAUUGUAAACCCC